GCACCCGAGCCAGCAGCUGCGGAGGGGGGCUGAGGAGUGUGCGCAGGUGGCAGGACUGGCAGGCAGCUCCACCGGUGGCCCUGAUGAGAGAUCCACUAGGGGAAGCCAGCUGGGCUCCUGAGUGAGCCGAGGCCAAAUGUGGAGAUGGCAUAACCAGAAGAGGGAACGAACUGGCCUGGAUGUGACUCAUGCUUGGAAGGGAGCUGUCUGGAAGGACCACAGUACCUGCAGCCAACUUUGUUGUACUUCUUGUUCUUGGCAGAUCCUCAUUCCUACUGGAUAUCUGUUGCACGCCAAUUAUCUUAGGCUACAGCUGUUUACUGACAGCUGUUCUCUCUACUGCCCACCAGGCAGCCACCCUUUUGUGGCAAUCCAUGCCUCUGCCUCCCAAGUGGGGCUGCUUUGGCCGGGGCUUCACCCUUAGCUCAGGCACAGAGCUUCUGAUCUAAAUCAAUCCAAAGCUUGCAUUUCCAGCAAAAGUAUCAUUUCUUCUCAUUGGCUAUGAAUGAGGCUUCCAUUCAUCAGUCAUUUUUCUGGGGACUUCUGAGGGAAAGAUUCUUUCUCUGUCCUGCUAGAUUUUUACCUGAGGGAAUGUGAGGCCCAAAGUUGCUGCAGCCAUCUUGACAUCUUCAGUGGGAGCCAGUCUGAGAACAGAGGUGAGAGAGAGAGAGGGAGAGAGAGAGAGAAGCAGACCCUCGUGAUACAUUUCAACCUUUAAGCCAAGAUAGCAGCAAGCCCUAUUUCCAGACUUUUCAGUUACAUAAUCAAGUAAAUUUGCUGCUUUGUUUAAGCAUCUUUCUCUUUCCCUCUCACCUUCUGUCAUGGGAUGACUCAGCAAGAAGGCCCUUGCAAGAUGCUGACACCUUGAUAUUGGACUUCCUAGCCUUCAGAACUGUGAAGAAUAAAUUUCUUUUCUUUAUAAGUUGCCUAGUCGCUGGUAUUCCCUUAUAGCAGCACAAAAUGGACUAAGACGGGCACGAUAGAUUGACCUGGCUGUGUGACUGCAAUCUCUGGGCUUGGCUGAGGGCCAUUUGUGCCUGGAAUUGGAGGACACUGUGAAGACAUUGUCCAUUUCAGAAAGGCUUUGUUCCUAAGUCAGUGCCUCUGGCCUUCUCCACAGUGACCUUUGCCACACUCCACCCCAGGGGUCCACAUUCUUGUCAAAGGGUGAGAAAUCUUUUGUGACUGGCCAUGAUGAUGCCAUUGUAACACAGGUGGCCAAUCAGUUUAUACAUCUGUUUAUCCCCUUAAACAGGUCAUUUAUUUUCAUGCACAAUUGAAACUGUAAGUCAAACUCUGCUUCUUUAUGGUGGUAAAUAGUACGUUGAUUAUGCUAAAGAAAGAUUAUUAUCGUAAGUGAACACCUGUGUCUUGUAUCACAGUGGUACUACAUCAGGGAAACCUGGUGGUCUGUUUUAUUUAUUUAUUUACUUAUUCAAGAGACAGGAUCUCAUUCUGUCACACAGGCUGGAGUGCAGUAGCACAAUUGUAGCUCAUUGCUCUAACUCCUAUGCUCAAACAAUCCUCCUGCCUCAAUCUCUCAAGUAGCUGGGACUGCAGGUGUGUGCCAUACAGUCAGCUAAUUUUUUUGUUUUUGUUUUUGAGACAGAGUCUCUCGCUCUGUCGCCCAGGCUGGAGUGCAGUGGCACAAUCUUGGCUCACUGCAACCUCCGCCUCCUGGGUUCAAGUGAUUCUCCUGUCUCAGCCUCCCGAGUUGCUGGGAUUACAGGCAUACACCACCACGUCCAGCUAAUUUUUUUGUAUUUUUAGUAGAGAUGAGUUUUCAUCAUGUUGGUUAGGCUGGUCUCGAACUCCUGACCUCAAAUGAUCGCCCGCCUCAGCCUCCCACAGUGUUGGGAUUAUAGGCAUGAGCCACUGGGCCUGGCCUAAUUUUUUUUUUUUUUUUUAGAUUUUGUAGAGGCAGGGUCUUCCUAUGUUGCCCAGGCUGGUCUUGAACUCUUGGCCUCAAGUAAUCCUCCCACUUUGGUCUCCAAAGUACCAGGAUUACAGAUGGGAGCCACCAUGCCUGGCCAUGUUUUAUUUUUAAUAGGAAAUUUGUUCGCAUGGCUGAAAGCUCAAAGGGUACAAAUAAAUGUUUGUGAAAACUUUCCUUCCCGCUCCUGUUUCCCAGGUGCCCAAUUCUCUUCCCCAGAGCUAAUCCAUUUCAUGCUUUUGAUGUAGCCUCCCAGAGUGACUUUAUGCAUAUUUAAGCAAACAAUGUAUUAUAUUCCCCCUUUGCCUCAACACUGGUGUAUGGACCUUCUGAGCCUUGCUCUUUUCACUGAAGAUAUCUUGGAUGUACUUGCAUGUAGUACAUAAAGAGCUUCUUCAUUCUUUUUGGUAGCGUCUGAGUAUCCCACAAUUUCAUAAUAGCAUGAUUUCAUUAAUGUCUGUUGAUGGACAUUUCAGUUGCUUUGUAUCUUUGGCUCUUGAAAACAAUGC
rnacentral:lncRNA from 1 species